GGCACCUUAGCUCAGUUGGUAGAGCAGAGGACUGAAAAUCCUUGUGUCCGCAGUUCAAUUCUGCGAGGUGCCACCA
rnacentral:tRNA from 1 species